CUUGGUCAUUUAGAGGAAGUAAAAGUCGUAACAAGGUUUCCGUAGGUGAACCUGCGGAAGGAUCAUUAUCCAUCCAAAACCAGCUGCGGUCGCGGCCCCACGCUUACCCGUGGCGGUACGCGCCGCACGUCUGCACCCUUUUUUUACGAGUACCUUCGUUCUCCCUCGGCAGGGCAACCUGCCGUUGGAACCAUACAAAACCUUUUUUUGCAUCUAGCAUUACCUGUUCUGAUACAAACAAUCGUUACAACUUUCAACAAUGGAUCUCUUGGCUCUGGCAUCGAUGAAGAACGCAGCGAAAUGCGAUAAGUAGUGUGAAUUGCAGAAUUCAGUGAAUCAUCGAAUCUUUGAACGCACAUUGCGCCCCUUGGUAUUCCAUGGGGCAUGCCUGUUCGAGCGUCAUCUACACCCUCAAGCUCUGCUUGGUGUUGGGCGUCUGUCCCGCCUCUGCGCGUGGACUCGCCUCAAAAUCAUUGGCAGCGGUCCUUGCCUCCUCUCGCGCAGCACAUUGCGCUUCUCGAGGGGCGUGGGUCGCGUCCACGAAGCAACAUUACCGUCUUUGACCUCGGAUCAGGUAGGGAUACCCACUGAACUUAAGCAUAUCAAUAAGCGGAGGA
rnacentral:rRNA from 1 species